rnacentral:rRNA from 1 species
AACCUUUUAUCUAAUAACUGACGUUGAGGGACGAAGGGCUCGGGUACGCGAACAGGAUUAGAUACCCUAGUAGUCCAAGCAGAGAAUGAUGAAUGCCAUAGAUUAGAUGUUUAUUUGGUCUAUAAAUGAAAGUGUAAGCAUUUCACCUCAAGAGUAAUGUGGCAACGCAGGAACUGAAAUCAUUAGACCGUUUCUGAAACCAGUAGUGAAGUAUGUUAUUUAAUUCGUAGUUACGCGAAAAACCUUACCACAACUUGAAUAUUAUCAUUGAGAAAAUAUUUAGCUCAGACUAAAUAGAAGUAUAAAUAGAUAUUACAAGCGUUGCACGGCUGUCCUCAGUUAAUGUCGUGAGAUAUUGGUUAAUUCCAUUAAAUUAACGGAAGCCCUUGCUUUAUUUGCAAAUUUUAUAAUAAAGCCGUCAACCAGAAGAACGGAUUGAUAAAAGGG